UGCCAAUUGGUUUCUUUCAUAUGCUAAUGCUU
rnacentral:piRNA from 1 species